rnacentral:sRNA from 1 species
UUGCGCUUUCAGCUCAAGCUCUUGGACUCACCGAGGCAGUAAAAGUACCAUAUCCUGUGUUUGAAUCAAACCCUGAGUUCUUGUAUGUGGAAGGCUUGCCAGAGGGGAUUCCCUUCCGAAGCCCUACCUGGUUUGGAAUUCCACGACUUGAAAGGAUCGUCCGCGGGAGUAAUAAAAUCAAGUUCGUUGUUAAAAAACCUGAACUAGUUAUUUCCUACUUGCCUCCUGGGAUGGCUAGUAAAAUAAACACUAAAGGUAAGAGACGACGUGUACUCCGUAUCCUAUUUGAGCGCAUUAAGACACUCUAUCCGCAUUCCUUAAAUCAUAUGGAAUCGGCCAAUAUCUUUAUGGGGCUUGGAGUUGUUUACUUUGCUUUCUAAGGUAUUUUAUUUAAUGGAACUACUUUUCUUUUUUUUAAAAAAAAAAAAAAAAAAAACAUUUCAUUGGAAAUGUCACAUUUGCAAUCCCAGUUCAUUCAUGUUUUCACAGCUUUGUUGAGCCCCUGUGGAGGAUUACACUACAAGUUUAAUUCUGCAGGUUUCUUUGAAAAGAGCCAAACUGUAUGAAUU